rnacentral:snRNA from 1 species
CUAAGAUCAUUUGUAGUUUCUGUUCUUAUCAGCUUAAUAUCUGGUACGGACCAAAUUGGUCUAAGAUAUUAAACUUAUUUUUGUAAGUGGCGUCCCUACGAAGCUUGCUUCGAGGGCGCUAGGGUCGACCUGGUAUCUCACUACCUCCGGGAGUGGCCCGUCCCCU